AAUGGUUUAAGAAGUGAGCCUGUCCUCAAUAGGGGGGAGUUGAAAUUAUGUCAUCAAUAAAGUAGUAGCAGUUACUGGUCCUGAAUGAACCCUGGUGUCCAUGUGGUCAUUACCCCACAAAUGGCGCGUGAACAGGGACCUGAAGAAAAUGAACAGGGACAACUUGAAGAACAGGGACAGGGUAACAGAACAGGGACAAAAACAAAAAAAAGAAUGAACAAGGACAGGCUAGCAGAACAGGGACCAGGACAGGAACAGGGACACUGAUCGCCUCAUUAAGAUAGGUUUGGUCAAACUCAGCAAACCGCUCAGAGAAGCUUGUACUGAAAGUCACUGAAGGGAAGCACACCCGAGCUGGAAGGAAGCUGAAGCUGAGACAAGCGGACCUGCGCACACAACUGCCCCUCACUGGCCGAAGCGUGUAUUAACUUGGAAGAGAGAGCA